CUAGAGGGUUAAGUCCGAGCCUUCCUCUUUCCAUCUCAUUCGUGUCACACUUCUGUCCACAGAUGGAGUCUUUCCUCUUGAAUGACAUCGGCUCCAUGACAUGCAACAAAGCCAUCGAGAGAAUCAUCUCAGCGAUGACUGUUCAGCUUUGUCAUCUGAUCCUCUCAAUGGAGAAAAAAGGCAUGGAGAAUGAAGUGUUUGCCUCUUUGGAGAAGACGGCAGAGGAGCUGGUUCAAGCUAGUGAAGGGUUUGUGCAAGUUGCCCAAAGGAAAGCAGAAAUGCUUAAAAAAAUACAGAAACAUAACUCUGCUAACAGCAUUGAUAUCUACAGAAGAACAAAUCAUUUGAUGUUACUUUCUUUAUUAACUUACUCACAUUGGCCAGUACUCCAUCCUCAUAUAGGCUCAGACUGGAAGAUGGUGGGGAUUCAGUCAUUAAGAGUUCAUCAAGUAACAUGCAAACAACAGUCCUUUCUUCUGGUUUCUACCUGUAAAAGAUGCCUGGUUGUCCAUAAAAAUAAUAAUCAGCUUAUGAUUAAAUGCAUCCACAUCUCUACAUAUAUCCAAAUAACAAUUUUGCCUUUUCAUACUGUUCAUCGGGUUCCCAAGGCAAGAAUACUGAAGUGGUGAAAAGCUGGCUUAAAACUCAACAUUCAAAAAACAAAGAUCAUGGCAUUUGGUCCCAUCACUUCAUGGCAAAUAGAUGGGGAAACAAUGGAAACAGUGACUUUAUUUUUUGGGCUCCAAAAUCACUGCAGGUGGUAACUGCAGCCAUGAAAUUAAAAGACACUUGCUCAUUGGAAGAAAAGCUAUGACCAACCUAGACAGCAUAUUAUAAAGCAGAGGCAUUAUUUGCUAUCUGUCUAUUCAAAGCUAUGGUUUUCCCAGUAGUCAUGUAUGAAAGUGAGAAUUGGACCAUAAAGAAAGCUGAGCCCUGAAGAAGUGAUGCUUUUGAAGUGUGGUGUUAGACAAGACUUUUGAGAGUCCCUUGGACUGCAAGGAAAUGAAACCAGUCCAUCCUAAAGAAAAUCAGUCCUGAAUAUUCAUUGGAAGGACUGAUACUGAAGCUGAAGCUCCAAUACUUUGGCCACCUGAUGCAAAGAACCGACUCAUUGGAAAAGACACUGAUCCAGGACAAGACUGAAGGCAGGAGAAGAAGGGGGUGACAGAGGGUGAGAUGGUUGGAUGGCAUCACUGAUUUGAUGCACUUGAGGUUGAGCAAGCUCUGGGAGUUGGUGAUGGACAGGGAAGCCUGGCAUGCUGCAGUCCAUAGGGCUGCAAAGAGUUGGACACGACUGAGUGAAUGAACUGAACUGAAAUAGCAAUUUUAAAUCUGGAUAAUUUAAAAGAUUUUUUCAAUUGACUAAUUUCAACUGGAAAUCCCAUUUGAGAACUGAUAAUAUUAAUAAGCCGUUGACAACUGAUGUUAGUUAAACCCAUAUUGUUAUUUCUUUGAACAAGGAUUAAAUCAGUAAGAACAAGGAUGGAAAACAAGCAAGCAAAUAAACACAAGGCAUGUGUGCCUUUGUAUUUAUGA
rnacentral:lncRNA from 1 species